rnacentral:rRNA from 1 species
AGAGUUUGAUCCUGGCUCAGAACGAACGCUGCGGCAGGCUUAACACAUGCAAGUCGAACGCCCCGCAAGGGGAGUGGCAGACGGGUGAGUAACGCGUGGGAACGUGCCCUUCGCUUCGGAAUAGUCCCGGGAAACUGGGUUUAAUACCGAAUACGCCGUAUUGGGAAAGAUUUAUCGGCGAAGGAUCGGCCCGCGUUAGAUUAGCUAGUUGGCGGUGUAAUGGACCACCAAGGCUAUGAUCUAUAGCUGGUCUGAGAGGAUGAUCAGCCACACUGGGACUGAGACACGGCCCAGACUCCUACGGGAGGCAGCAGUGGGGAAUCUUGGACAAUGGGGGGAACCCUGAUCCA